GUCAGUAAACUUCAUUCUCGGGAGGAAAACUAGCACUUUCCUCCCUUGUUAUACAAAUAGCUAUUUCACAUCAGUGACUUCAGUGGUAUUUCCCAUAUCUUGUGAUGAAGAUAUAGUUUUAUUUGAGGGAUAGUUAGAAGACUCCACAGAUUUUAAUAAUGCAGUAUGUUUAGAUUUAGAUUGUUAUAUCAUUAAAGUAAAAAAUUAACUUUGUUAUCAAAAGUAAAUACAUGUCUCCUAAUUCAACAGCUUACCUUAACAAUAUACUCUUAAAAAUAUAUUUUUUAGGUAUCGGAGCUUAUUAAAGAAGGAGGAUAAAAAGCCUAUGAUUUUGUAUCAAGAGUUGAAAAAUUAAUUAUUAGCAAUGACCAAGCUUUUAAAGUACCUACAGUUGGCUGGGACAAAAAGGCAAACAAAAGUUUUGUGAUACCAGAAUUGCAAAUCUGAUAAUUGAGGCAUUAAAAGCAACAAAUUUAGUAAAAUCAACAAACGAAGCACAAUCAGCUAUUCAGUUAUGGUUAAGAAGAGCAUUUGACGGAAACAGCUAUAAAAUCAA
rnacentral:lncRNA from 1 species